rnacentral:rRNA from 1 species
UCAGACGAUGCGUCAUGCAUAUCAAUAAGCGGAGGAAAAGAAACUAACAUAGGAUUCCCUCAGUAACGGCGAGUGAAGCGGGAAGAGCUCAAAUUUGAAAUCUUCAAGGUUUUACCUUGACGAAUUGUAGUUUAAAGAAGUGUUUUCUGUUGAAGUUUUGGUAAAAGUUCUUUGGAAAUAGGACAUCAUAGAGGGUGAGAAUCCCGUAUUUGACCAUUAUUUUCAGCUGUGUGAUACACUUUCAAAGAGUCGGAUUGUUUGGGAAUGCAGUCCAAAAUGGGUGGUAAAUUUCAUCUAAAGCUAAAUAUUGGCGAGAGACCGAUAGCGAACAAGUACCGUGAGGGAAGGAUGAAAAGAACUUUGAAAAGAGAGUUAAACAGUACGUGAAAUUGUCAAAAGGGAAGCGUUUGACACCAGUGUUGUUUUCUCGAAAAUCAAUUAAAAAGAGUUGGAUUUUGUGUUGUAUUGACCUUAACAGCUUGCUUCACUCUUUUCCUGCUUUUUUUAAUGCACUUUUCGUUUAACAAGUCAACAUCAGUUUCUUUUGUUGUAAAAGGGUCAUUGGAAGGUGACUUUCUCUUCGGAGAAAGUGUUUAUAGCCUUUGAUCUCUGCAAUCGGAGAGACUGAGGUCUGCAGCGUAGAUCCUUCGGGGUUAGAUACAUUUGUGCUAAGCUACAGCUUUUCAUAGACAACUUGUUGACUAUGUUUAGUCUUGUAACUUACCCGCUUAUGCUAUUUUACCUACGCUUAGGAUGUUGAUAUGCAUGACUGAUAU